AUGAUGGAAUAUUGGUGUAGGAACUUCAUAUGGAGUGUGGACGUUAACAAAAGGAAAAUAGUGAUAGUGACUUGGAAGCAUUGUUGUAAAGAUGUGAAGGAUUGUGGCUUUGGUAUUAGGUAUUUGAGGGUCCUUAAUGAGGAGUCUGAUUUGAAGCAAUGUUGGAGUGUUCUAGCUGAUCUGGAGGACUUGGCCAAAAUAUUGAGGGCAAGAGUCUUUGAGAGGCCGGCAGGUGAAGUGCCAUUUUUUCUCAUCUAUCUAGACAGGGAGAAAAAAUUGCCAAGUAGUAAAGACCAAUUCAAUAUGGAUGGUUGGUAA